rnacentral:lncRNA from 1 species
UGAUUGCUUGCUCUAAUCUCAAGAUGGAUGGACAGUGGCUAUCUCUUUUCUUCUAUAGUGGGCCUCCUUCCUUGAUCCUCACAUUUCAUUCGAGUAGAUCAUUUGAUCACCAUAGAAUGGGACUAGACUAGGCUAAGAAAUGAAAUGGAAUGUACCGGAUUUUUAGCACGUACAACCAUCGAAGCAGAGACCAAAGCACAACAAUGAAAAUGGGUAGUCAAUAUUGGUAUAUAAGAUCUAUUCCCAUAUUUCGAUCUUUUUUCAUACGCCCCACCCCCUCUUUACUUCCUUGAAUUCUGUACUUCUUGAAGCAAUGCAAAGACAUGGAAAAGAGAAGUAUGGGCCGGUGGGUGGGGAAAGGCAAGGAAAAGCUAUAGGU